UCAGGGCAACUGGGUGGGGGAAGUGGCGAAAGGGGCAGUAAGGCGUGGGUAACUUGCCCUGGGGCCUGGAAUAGCCCUCCUAACGGAGGGGUAAUACCAGAUGCCGUGCUGUGGAGGCAUCUCUGUGGCACGAAAGCUCAGGCACCCCGAGAGAGGCUCACGUGGUAUUAGCUAGUUGGUGGGGUAACGGCCUACCAAGGCUCAGAUGCCUAGCAGGUGUGAGAGCACGACCUGCGCCACUGGCACUGAGACACUGGCCAGACUCCUACGGGAGGCUGCAGUCGAGGAUCUUCGGCAAUGGGCGCAAGCCUGACCGAGCGACGCCGCGUGUGCGAUGAAGGCCUUCGGGUUGUAAAGCACUGUCGAGAGGGAGAAAAGCCCGCAAGGGUGUGAUCGACCUCUGGAGGAAGCACGGGCUAAGUUCGUGCCAGCAGCCGCGGUAAGACGAACCGUGCGAACGUUAUUCGGAAUCACUGGGCUUAAAGGGCGCGUAGGCGGGCUCGCCAGUCAGGGGUGAAAGCCCACAGCUCAACUGUGGAAGUGCCUUUGAUACUGCGAGUCUCGAGGGAGGUAGGGGCGUGCGGAACUUCCGGUGGAGCGGUGAAAUGCGUAGAUAUCGGAAGGAACACCGGUGGCGAAAGCGGCGCGCUGGACCUCUUCUGACGCUGAGGCGCGAAAGCCAGGGGAGCAAACGGGAUUAGAUACCCCGGUAGUCCUGGCCCUAAACGAUGGGUACUAGGUAGUGGACUGACAUGGGUUCACUGCCGAAGCAAAAGUGUUAAGUACCCCGCCUGGGGAGUAUGGUCGCAAGGCUGAAACUCAAAGGAAUUGACGGGGGCUCACACAAGCGGUGGAGCAU
rnacentral:rRNA from 1 species